GCUGGUAUAGCUCAGAAGGUUUUAGAGCACACUCUUGGUAUGAGUGAGGUCCCCAGUUCAAAUCUGGGUAUCAGCA
rnacentral:tRNA from 1 species